rnacentral:rRNA from 1 species
UACAUGGGGUGCAAACGUUGCUCGGAAUUAUUGGGCGUAAAGCGCACGUAGGCGGUUCGUUAAGUCGGAUGUGAAAGCCCUCGGCUCAACUGAGGAAGUGCACCCGAAACUGGCGAGCUUGAGUACGAAAGAGGAUCGCGGAAUUCCCGGUGUAGAGGUGAAAUUCGUAGAUAUCGGGAGGAACACCGGUGGCGAAGGCGACCAUCUGGACGGAUACUGACGCUGAGACGCGAAAGCGUGGGUAGCAAACAGG